AUUGAACGCUGGCGGCAUGCCUUACACAUGCAAGUCGAACGGCAGCGCGGGGCAACCUGGCGGCGAGUGGCGAACGGGUGAGUAAUAUAUCGGAACAUACCCUAGAGUGGGGAUAACGUAGCGAAAGUUACGCUAAUACCGCAUACGCACUAAGGUGGAAAGUGGGGGAUUCGCAAGAACCUCAUGCUCAUGGAGUGGCCGAUAUCUGAUUAGCUAGUUGGUGAGGUAAAGGCUCACCAAGGCGACGAUCAGUAGCUGGUUUGAGAGAACGACCAGCCACACUGGAACUGAGACACGGUCCAGACUCCUACGGGAGGCAGCAGUGGGGAAUUUUGGACAAUGGGGCAACCCUGAUCCAGCAAUGCCGCGUGAGUGAAGAAGGCCUU
rnacentral:rRNA from 1 species